UACGGAGGGUGCAAGCGUUAUCCGGAUUCACUGGGUUUAAAGGGUGCGUAGGUGGGCAAGUAAGUCAGUGGUGAAAUCUCCGGGCUUAACCCGGAAACUGCCAUUGAUACUAUUUGUCUUGAAUACUGUGGAGGUCAGCGGAAUAUGUCAUGUAGCGGUGAAAUGCUUAGAUAUGACAUAGAACACCAAUUGCGAAGGCAGCUCACUAAAGUGUAACUGACGCUGAGGCACGAAAGCGUGGGGAUCAAACAGG
rnacentral:rRNA from 1 species